rnacentral:rRNA from 1 species
UACGUAGGGAGCAAGCGUUGUCCGGAUUUAUUGGGCGUAAAGAGCUCGUAGGCGGCCUGUCGCGUCGGUUGUGAAAGCCCGGGGCUUAACCCCGGGUCUGCAGUCGAUACGGGCAGGCUAGAGUUCGGUAGGGGAGAUCGGAAUUCCUGGUGUAGCGGUGAAAUGCGCAGAUAUCAGGAGGAACACCGGUGGCGAAGGCGGAUCUCUGGGCCGAUACUGACGCUGAGGAGCGAAAGCGUGGGGAGCGAACAGG